rnacentral:lncRNA from 1 species
AAAAAACUUCCCCGCUUAAAUUUUUCGCUGCAUGGCUAUCAGCCGUUUGUCGCGCGUACCUUUACGAACGGCAUAAAGAUUUCGCCGCCAUAAUUCAACAAAAACGUGCUGUUAAAACUUGCUCUGUUUAUCAUUAACGACGAGCCUUUGUAAUUUUUUCAUAAUUUUGUCUAAAAGAAAAUAAAAAAUGCGUUAUAUAGUUGUAUAAUUCAUUUGUAAGAAAUAUUCUUUUUCUUUGUAUCCAGCCACGAUUUCCGGUUCCCGCCAUUUCGCGCCGGCGUCGUGGGUGUUUGGAUGCAACGUAGUGCUCUCGGUUUUAUUUUGUUUAAGCGACCUUUUCUGAAGUGUUAACCAAGGAUCAAACACUGGUUGUUGCGGGGAUCGGCUUCAGAGGGUCAAGGAUGGCGUCUUGAAUCGCUGUUCAGUCGACAGGCAACUGUAUGACAACGCCAUCCCUGUCAACCAGAGCGUCGACCGAAGUAGGGCGGCGUUGCGCGGACCUGGCCGCACCCGACCAACCGGUGCCCGGUGGAGUACCUGACUCGGGCUGGGCCGAGACUACCUACAUCACGACCUUUUGAACUUUGAUCUCGUGGCGAGAAACAAUAUGACGUAAGGAAGUGUGUAUGUGGCUGGCGGGGCCGAGGGUGAAAUGCGCCACGUGUUUAUCCUGCCGGAUGACGACAGCGUCACCAACCUGUCAAAGAACGAGCUGGUGCAGCGCGUGAUGACUGCUAUCUCGUCCCUAGAACCGGAGUAGAAAAACGUGCGCAUAGCCCAAAUGAAGCGAACCAAAACACAGACAGGACUGAUAGCUUUUUGGUCGAGAAUGUUCUGAAGAUGCUGAUCAGUAAACCAAUUGGUGACCGUUUUCGGUGGUAAUAUGGGAUCUUGUGGUGUUCCAAAGCGACCUGCUUUGGGUGUGGACAUAAGUGGCUCAACCUGACAGGAUUGAUGUUUUAGGUAGCCGUGCUAAUCAUAAACCCUAUAUUGAGUGUAUCUGUACAAAUUUUGUUAAUAUUUAUUUCAUGUAUUUGAUUCGAAACCGAAAAUUGCUCUUUGUAAUUAGGCAACAUCGAGACGUUGAGGUCAUUCUCCAGACGUUUAUUUGUUUUUUCUUACCUGUCCACGGUAUGUCUUAUUGGUUAGGUC